CCUANGGGUGGCUGCAGUAACGAAUAUUGGGCAAUGGGCGCAAGCCUGACCCAGCGACGCCGCGUGGAGGAUGAAGUUCUUCGGAAUGUAAACUCCUGUCAGGGGUUAGAAAGUUCUGAUCAACCCCAGAGGAAGUGGCGGCUAACUCUGUGCCAGCAGCCGCGGUAAGACAGAGGCCACAAGCGUUAGGCGGAAUCACUGGGCUUAAAGCGUGUGUAGGCGGAUCGUUAAGUGCCUUGUGAAAUCCCACGGCUCACCCGUGGAACGGCUGGGCAUACUGGCGAUCUUGAGCCAUCUAGGGGCGACUGGAACAAACGGUGGAGCGGUGAAAUGCGUAGAUAUCGUUUGGAACGCCAACGGUGAAAACAGGUCGCUGGGGAUGUGCUGACGCUGAGACACGAAAGCCAGGGGAGCAAACGGGAUUAGAUACCCCUNUANUC
rnacentral:rRNA from 1 species